UUGGUAGGGUAACGGCCUACCAAGGCUACGAUCAGUAGGGGUUCUGAGAGGAUUAACCCCCACACUGGUACUGAGACACGGACCAGACUCCUACGGGAGGCAGCAGUGAGGAAUAUUGGUCAAUGGGCGGAAGCCUGAACCAGCCAUCCCGCGUGAAGGAAGACAGCCUUACGGGUUGUAAACUUCUUUUCUGUCAGAAGAAUAAGCUUGUCGAGACGAGUGAUGCCGGUAUGACAGGAAUAAGCAUCGGCUAACUCCGUGCCAGCAGCCGCGGUAAUACGGAGGAUGCAAGCGUUAUCCGGAUUUAUUGGGUUUAAAGGGUGCGCAGGUUGUUUGAUAAGUCAGUGGUGAAAGUCUGUCGCUUAACAGUAGGAUUGCCAUUGAUACUGUUGGACUUGAAUAUGGAUGAGGUAGGCGGAAUGUGUAGUGUAGCGGUGAAAUGCAUAGAUAUUACACAGAACACCGAUUGCGAAGGCAGCUUACUAAUCCAUCAUUGACGCUGAGGCACGAAAGCGUGGGGAUCAAACAGGAUUAGAUACCCUGGUAGUCCACGCCGUAAACGAUGAUCACUCGCUGUUUGCGAUAUACAGUAAGCGGCUAAGCGAAAGC
rnacentral:rRNA from 1 species